ensembl:lncRNA
UGAGACAACAAAGAAGAUAAAUAGGAGUGGGGUAUAGUGUAUUGUCAGAAUGUCCGCCUCACUUGUAUGAGGCCCUGGGUUCAAUCCCUGUCAUAGUGCUUUACUGCUGGGAAAAGACACCAUGCCAAGGGCAAGUCUUACAAAAGAAAACAUUUAAUGGGGACUGGCUUGAAGUUUCAGAGGUUUAGUCCAUUAUCAUCACAGCAGCACACAGGCAGACAUGGUGCUGUAGAGGACCUGAGAGUUCUAUAUCUUGAUCCACAGGCAGCCAGGAGGAGGCUCUGAUUCCACACUGGGCGGAGCUUAGGCAUAAGGACCUCAAAGGCCACCGCCCCAGUGACGCACUUCCUCCAACAAUCUCCUAAUAGUGCCACUUCCUGUGGGCCAAACAUUCAAACAGAUUUGGAAAGCCAUUGGAGAGACAACCAAGUGCAAUGGGGGAAAAAAGCUCAAAAGGACCCCAAAGGCACUCUACAUGGUGGAAGAAGACAUUCUCAAGUCAAGCUGCGGAGCAGACUGAGGGCAGAGCAGACUGAGGGCAGAGUAGCUGCCUGGAAGAAGCAGAAACCAGCUGAGCUGCCUGAGGCUGUGCAGGAGCUCCAGGUCCCCAGUGUUGUGCGCUGUCACCCAUGCUGGAGUGGAACUUGAUAAUGCACUGCAAUCAAGUCAUUUGUGCUCUUGCACAGAGUGCCCCACCCAUAUUCCUGUAUGCAGGUAUGCAGUACAACGUAAGACCAGUAGCUGACAUCCAGAUGUUCAAGAUGAAGACCAUUACAGAAAACCACAUUUGAUCAAAAUGCAGAGAACAAGAGACCACAUGUUGCCCACCUCCACUGAUACAUCUACGACUCCGGCACCAAGGGUUCCUGGAUCAUUGUAAAAGAAGGGGCAGAAAAAUAGGUGAGAGCCACAGGAAAGGAAGUUUGCUGUGAUAUUGUACCCCCUACACAUGCCAGAGAAGCAGCGCUCAUGAAGUCUCAUCGCAUGGCUACCUAACUCAAACAUGAACAAAGACGACAGUAGUGGACAUGCUCCCGUGGAAGGGGAAAACUCAGGAGGCUACAACCUUAGACAAAGAAUUACAGGCAACGAAGUGGAGAAAUAGUCUCCCCUAGAGAAGAGAACUUCCUACUGGUCAUCCAGCACUAAGUGACCAGUUCUGAAAUCACAAGCCACAUAUAUAAAAGUAACACUGUAAGGGCUAAGUGGGUUGUAUUUAUAUAUUAAGGAAUACACAUAUGGAUAUAUAUGAAUAUAUAUAUUUAGGACUAUAUGUAUUUAGGAAUAUAUGUGUAUGUAUAUGUGUUUGUAUGUAUGUGUAAGAACAAUUAAAG